rnacentral:rRNA from 1 species
GUCUACAGUCAUGCCAUCCUGAAUGUGCCCAAUCUUGUCUGAUCUCGGAAGCUAAGCAGGGAUGGGCCUGGUUAGUACUUGGAUGAGAGAUCACCUAGGAAUACCAGGUGCUGUAGGCA